rnacentral:rRNA from 1 species
UACGGAGGGUGCGAGCGUUGUCCGGAAUCACUGGGCGUAAAGGGCGCGUAGGCGGCGCGGUGAGUCAACGGUGAAAGCUCGGCGCUCAACGCCGAGUCGGCCGUCGAUACUCCCGUGCUCGAGCACUGUAGAGGCAGGUGGAAUUCCGGGUGUAGCGGUGGAAUGCGUAGAGAUCCGGAAGAACACCGGUGGCGAAGGCGACCUGCUGGGCAGUAGCUGACGCUGAGGCGCGACAGCGUGGGGAGCAAACAGG